rfam:Picoides pubescens contig7277, whole genome shotgun sequence.
UACUUGGUUGAUCCUGCCAGUAGCAUAUGCUCGUCUCAAAGCUUAAGCCAUGCGUGUGUACACAUGGGUCGUACAGUGAAACUGUGAACGGCUCAUUAAAUCAAUUAUGGUUCCUUUGGUCGCUCCUCUCCCACUCCUUGGAUAACUGUGGUAAUUCUAGAACUAAUAUAUGCCGACGAGCGCCGGCCUCUGGGGACACAUGCAUUUAUCAGACCAAAACCAACCUGGGCCCGCCCAGUAGCUUUGGUGACUCUAGAUAACCUUGAGCUGAUCGCAUGCCCCCACGGUGGCGACGACCCAUUCGAAUGUCUGCCCUAUCAACUUUCGAUGGUACUGUCUGUGCCUACCAUUGUGACCACGGGUGAUGGGGAAUCAGGGUUUGAUUCCAGAGAGGGAGCCUGAGAAACGGCUACCACAUCCAAGGAAGGCAGCAGGCAUGCAAAUUACCCACUCCCGACCCAGGGAGGUAGUGAUGAUAAAUAACAGUACAGGACUCUUUCGAGGCCCUGUAAUUGGAAUGAAUACACUUUAAAUCCUUGAGCGAGGAUCUAUUGGAGGGUGCCAGUAGCUGCAGUAAUUCCAACUCCAAUAGCAUAUCUUAAAGUUGCUGCAGUUAAAAAGCUCGCAGUUGGAUCUUGGGAUGGAGCUGGCAGUCUGCUGUGAGGCGAGCCAUCGCCUGUCCCAGCCCCUUCCUCCCCUUGCCUCUUGGUGCCCCCUCAAUGCUCUUAGCUGAGUGUCCCGCGGGGCCCUAAACAUUUACUUUGAGAAAAUUAGAGUGUUCAAAGCAGGCCGGCCGCCGGCAUACUGCAGCUAGGAAUAAUGGAAUAGGACUCCGGUUCUGUUUUGUUGGUUUUCAGAAACAGGGCCAUGAUUAAGAGGGACGGCCAGGGGCAUUCGUAUUGUGCUUCUAGAGGUAAAAUUCUUGAACCGGCACAAGACAGCCUAGAGUGAAAACAUUUGCCAAGAAUGUUUUGAUUAAUCAAGAACAAAAUUUGGAGGUUUGAAGAUGAUGAGAUACCGUCGUAGUUCAGACCAUAAACGAUGCCGACUGGCGAUCCGGUGGCGUUAUUCCCAUGACCCACCAGGCAGCUCCUGGGAAACCCAAGUCUUUGGAUUCCAGGGGUAGAAUGGUUGCAAAGCUGAAACUUAAAGGAAUUAAUGGAAAGGGACCACCGGGAGUGGAGCCUGUGGCUUAAUUUGACUCAACACAGGAAACCUCACCCAGCCUGGACACAGACAAGACUGACAGAUUGAGAGCUCUUUCUCGAUUCUGUGGGUGGUGGUGCAUGGUCAUUCUUAGUUGGUGCAGUGAUUUGUCUGGUUAAUUCCAAUAACGAAGGAGACUCUGGCAUGCUAACUAGUUACACAACCCCCAAGCGGUUGGUGUCCCUGGAUUUGGGACUGAUCCCCACAGAUUUCGGUCUGAUUCCCCAGGAUUUGGGUGUGAUUCCCACGGAUUGGGGUCUGGUUCCCCAGGAUUUGGGUCUGAUCCCCUUGUAUUUGGGUCUGAUUCCCCUGGAUUUGGGACUGAUUCCCUGGAUUUCGGUCAGAUCCCCUGGAUUUGAGUCUGCUUCCCCUGGAUUUGGGUCUUAUUCCCUAGGAUUUGGGUCUGAUUUCCACAGAUUUGGUUGAGAUCUACACCGGAUUUGAGGCUAAUUCCCUGGAUUUGGGUCUGAUUCCAAAUGGGUUUGGGUCUCAUUUCCCUGUAUUUGGGUCUGAUUCCCCUGGAUUUGGGACUGAUUCCCUGGAUUUCGGUCAGAUCCCCUGGAGUUGAGUCUGCUUCCCCUGGAUUUGGGUCUUAUUUCCUAGGAUUUGGGUCUGAUUUCCACAGAUUUGGUUGAGAUCUACACCGGAUUUGAGGCUAAUUCCCUGGAUUUGGGUCUGAUUCCAAAUGGGUUUGGGUCUCAUUUCCCUGUAUUUGGGUCUGAUUCCCCUGGAUAUGGGUCUCAUUCCCUGGAUUUCGGUCUGAUGCCUCUCAAUUUGGGUCUGAUUCCUGGAUUAGGGUCUGAUCCCCACGAAUUUGGGU